rnacentral:rRNA from 1 species
AUUGAACGCUGGCGGCAUGCCUUACACAUGCAAGUCGAACGGCAGCACGGGAGCAAUCCUGGUGGCGAGUGGCGAACGGGUGAGUAAAGUAUCGGAACGUGCCCAGUCGUGGGGGAUAACGUAGCGAAAGUUACGCUAAUACCGCAUACGAUCUAUGGAUGAAAGCGGGGGAUCGCAAGACCUCGCGCGAUCGGAGCGGCCGAUAUCAGAUUAGGUAGUUGGUGGGGUAAAGGCCCACCAAGCCGACGAUCUGUAGCUGGUCUGAGAGGACGACCAGCCACACUGGGACUGAGACACGGCCCAGAUUCCUACGGGAGGCAGCAGUGGGGAAUUUUGGACAAUGGGCGAAAGCCUGAUCCAGCCAUGCCGCGUGCAGGAUGAAGGCCUUCGGGUUGUAAACUGCUUUUGUACGGAACGAAAAGGACUGCCCUAAUACGGUGGUCCCAUGACGGUACCGUAAGAAUAAGCACCGGCUAACUACGUGCCAGCCGCCGCGGUAA